rnacentral:rRNA from 1 species
GACGAACGCUGGCGGCGUGCUUAACACAUGCAAGUCGAGCGAUGAAGCUCCUUCGGGAGUGGAUUAGCGGCGGACGGGUGAGUAACACGUGGGUAACCUGCCUCAUAGAGGGGAAUAGCCUUUCGAAAGGAAGAUUAAUACCGCAUAAGAUUGUAGCUUCGCAUGAAGCAGCAAUUAAAGGAGUAAUCCGCUAUGAGAUGGACCCGCGUCGCAUUAGCUAGUUGGUGAGGUAACGGCUCACCAAGGCGACGAUGCGUAGCCGACCUGAGAGGGUGAUCGGCCACAUUGGGACUGAGACACGGCCCAGACUCCUACGGGAGGCAGCAGUGGGGAAUAUUGCACAAUGGGGGAAACCCUGAUGCAGCAACGCCGCGUGAGUGAUGACGGUCUUCGGAUUGUAAAGCUCUGUCUUCAGGGACGAUAAUGACGGUACCUGAGGAGGAAGCCACGGCUAACUACGUGCCAGCCGCCGCCGUAAAAC